rnacentral:lncRNA from 1 species
AUGUAUACUGCAGUCACACUGAAGGUCCUGAUCUUUGCUUUUGGUACAGACGCAGCAGGCCUAGUGUUCCUCAUAUUCCCCUUCCAGCACCAUCCCCGUGGCCACAGAGAUGAAUGGAAAUGCAGGUUAAAACUCUUGGUUAUGCAACUGUGGGGCCCUGAAUACAAAGGUGGUGUUGCUCAGCUUCUGUGCUGGAAAUACCGUAGAAACCCCACAGGGAGCUCAGGGGUCUUGGUGGAAACAGCACUAAAGACAGAAAGCAGAGAGAGGAUGAAGCAAAUUAAAAGUGGGAACAUUUCUCUCCUGAAUCCAGAUGUACCAAAGAAGGAGGAAAGUCUCACUGCAGAGCUCUACAGGGAAAAUGCAAGUGAGAUUUUUCAGCAUAUCAGCUGGCCAAUGGAUAUCAUUUAAUCAUCUAGUGGGACUUUCUGCAUAUCAAAGGCUGUUACAUCGCACACUGAUCUCGCUCUAGACUUCAGUCAGAGAAAAUAAUUUCAAACAUCGUUGCCCUCAGUGGUCUGUUGCAAGCAGCAGAGACCUUCCACAUCUACUGAAGGAAAUACGAUCAUGUGAGCUGAAUACUUCAGUUAGACAAGCUAAGAAAGUGCACUGUACAGCAGCAAAGGGAAUGGAUUGACCUGUGCUGGGUACCAUUUCUGGUGUGAUCCAGCAUCAUCACUCUUAAAAAAAAAAAAACAAAAAAAACCUUUCUCUCCUUUUGAAUGCAUCCCUCAGUUGUGUGUUGCAGGGGAAAGGAAUGGAAAUCUUCCUGAUCCCCGAAUCCCUAAAGCAUAGUUUUGAUAAAUAAAAUAAAGUACUACAUGAAAGCCA